GGGGAUGUAGCUCAGUGGUAGAGCGUCCGCUUUGCAUGCGGAAGGCCCCGGGUUCGAACCCCGGCAUCUCCA
rnacentral:tRNA from 2 species